GUUAUAUACAGUAGAGAGGCUAUAUACAGUAGAGAGGCUAUAUACAGUAGAGAGGCUAUAUACAGUAGAGAGGCUAUAUACAGUAGAGAGGCUAUAUACAGUAGAGAGGCUAUAUACAGUAGAGAGGCUAUAUACAGUAGAGAGGUUAUAUACAGUAGAGAGGUUAUAUACAGUAGAGAGGCUAUAUACAGUAGAGAGGUUAUAUACAGUAGAGAGGCUAUAUACAGUAGAGAGGCUAUAUACAGUAGAGAGGCUAUAUACAGUAGAGAGGAUAUAUACAGUAGAGAGGCUAUAUACAGUAGAGAGGCUAUAUACAAGAGAGGCUAUAUACAGUAGAGAGGCUAUAUACAGUAGAGAGGCUAUAAACAGUAGAGAGGCUAUAUACAGUAGAGAGGCUAUAUACAGUAGAGAGGCUAUA
rnacentral:lncRNA from 1 species